GAACUGGGUUCCCCCCACAUUGUGGGUGGGGAAAGGGAUCCAGACUAGGAAAUAUUUUCAGGCGUGCAAAAGGCAAGUCUUUCUCAGCAACUGAACUAAAAGCGUGGACCUCUUCCCGCAAAAUAUCAUCUCCUGUGCAAACUGCUAGAAAUACUCUCUCGUCUGUUCUGGAUGGAAGAAGUCUAUAAAUCGCCUGCAGGGAGGCCUCUCAGAGAAGUACAAAUCUGUGGAUCAAACAUUAAUCAGGAUGUAGAAGAAGGUGGCUGGCUGGUUGUCCCACCCAGCUCAGCGGCUGCGGUUCUCUCAAGGACAUCACACAUAUGGCGCCACUAGAUGCCACUGUCGAGACACAUUUGUUCUUUGAUCUGGCUUCUCCAAAGGUAUUCAGGAAAAUCACAUUAAAAGAAUGGCAAGAUAUGUUUA